rnacentral:misc_RNA from 1 species
UCCGUAGGUGAACCUGCGGAGGGAUCAUUACAGAGUUCGUGCCCUUUGGGUAGAUCUCCCACCCACUGUUAUCACUACGAAUGUUGCUUUGGCGGGCCGCAGGGCCCUGCCCGGCCGCCGGCCCCGCCGGUGUGCGCCCGCCAGAGGCCUCUAUAGACUCUGAAUGUUAGUGUCGUCUGAGUACUAUAUAAUAGUUAAAACUUUCAACAACGGAUCUCUUGGUUCUGGCAUCGAUGAAGAACGCAGCGAAAUGCGAUAAGUAAUGCGAAUUGCAGAAUUCAGUGAGUCAUCGAAUCUUUGAACGCACAUUGCGCCCUGUGGUAUUCCGCAGGGCAUGCCUGUUCGAGCGUCAUUUCAACCCUCAAGCCUGGCUUGGUGUUGGGCCUAGCCUGUCUGGCUGGCCUUAAAGACAGUGGCGGCGCCGCCUGGCCCUAAGCGUAGUACACCUCUCGCUCUAGGGUUCCUGCGGUGGCCUGCCAGACCCCCCUAUUCUAUGGUUGACCUCGGAUCAGGUAGGGAUACCCGCUGAACUU